rnacentral:rRNA from 1 species
AACGUAGGUGGCAAGCGUUAUCCGGAUUUACUGGGCGUAGAGGGUGUGCAGGCGGGACGACAAGUGGUGUAUGAAAUCUCCCAGCUUAACUGGGAUAGGUUAUGCCAGACUGUCGUUCUAGAGGACGAGAGAGGGGGGUGGAAUUCCGGGUGUAGUGGUGAAAUGCGUAGAGAGUCCGGAGGAACCCCAGAGGCGAAGGCGGCCCCCUGGCUCGUACCUGACGCUCAGCCACGAAAGGCAUGGGGAGCGAACGGG